GAAGCAUCAGUGACAGCUGGCAACUGCCCAUUAUUACUUUUGGUACGCGCUGUGACGCUUCAAACUCGUACCGUGAGUAAUAAUGCGUGGCUGGCAGCACUGGCAGCGCC